rnacentral:rRNA from 1 species
UACGUAGGGUGCAAGCGUUAAUCGGAAUUACUGGGCGUAAAGCGUGCGCAGGCGGUUCUAUAAGACAGAUGUGAAAUCCCCGGGCUCAACCUGGGAACUGCAUUUGUGACUGUAGAGCUGGAGUACGGCAGAGGGGGAUGGAAUCCGCGUGUAGCAGUGAAAUGCGUAGAUAUGCGGAGGAACUCCGGUGGCGAAGGCGGCGUGCUGGACCCUUUCUGACGCUGAGGCGCGAAAGCCAGGGGAGCAAAGCGGG